rnacentral:rRNA from 1 species
GCCUACGGGGGGCAGCAGUAGGGAAUCUUCCACAAUGGGCGAAAGCCUGAUGGAGCAACGCCGCGUGGGUGAAGAAGGUCUUCGGAUCGUAAAACCCUGUUGUUAGAGAAGAAAGUGCGUGAGAGUAACUGUUCACGUUUCGACGGUAUCUAACCAGAAAGCCACGGCUAACUACGUGCCAGCAGCCGCGGUAAUACGUAGGUGGCAAGCGUUAUCCGGACUUAUUGGGCGUAAAGGGAACGCAGGCGGUCUUUUAAGUCUGAUGUGAAAGCCUUCGGCUUAACCGGAGUAGUGCAUUGGAAACU